rnacentral:sRNA from 1 species
GCCAGGUGCAGUGGUGUACACCUGUAAUCCCAGCUACUUGGGAGGCUAAGGCAGGAGGAUUGCAAGUUUGAGUCCCAGCUUUAG